AACGAACGCUGGCGGCAGGCCUAACACAUGCAAGUCGAGCGCCCUUUCGGGGGAGCGGCGGACGGGUGAGUAACGCGUGGGAAUAUGCCCUUCUCUACGGAAUAGCCUCGGGAAACUGAGAGUAAUACCGUAUACGCCCUUUGGGGGAAAGAUUUAUCGGGGAAGGAUUAGCCCGCGUUGGAUUAGGUAGUUGGUGGGGUAAUGGCCUACCAAGCCAACGAUCCAUAGCUGGUUUGAGAGGAUGAUCAGCCACACUGGGACUGAGACACGGCCCAGACUCCUACGGGAGGCAGCAGUGGGGAAUCUUAGACAAUGGGGGCAACCCUGAUCGAGCCAUGCCGCGUGAGUGAUGAAGGCCUUAGGGUUGUAAAGCUCUUUCAGCUGGGAAGAUAAUGACGGUACCAGCAGAAGAAGCCCCGGCUAACUCCGUG
rnacentral:rRNA from 1 species